GUGAUGCGCCUCUGACUGGGUGGUGGGCGUGUGUUAAGCGGUGGGGUUUCAUUCAUAAAUACUUUUAGCCUUAAAGUCCACAUUAAAGUGAUCACGGAAGAGUUCCGCGUUAUUGACUUCGCCCCUCCACUCCCGAAUGGACCAGGAUAGUUGGGUAGCCAUGCAGCACUACCGUCCUGUUGCUCUGAGGCCAGUGGGCCGGCCCUGAGGGGAAACACCGCUGCUCAGGCUCAGUUGGCUGGGUGCGCUGAGGUGGCUGAGGAUGCAGCAAGGGAGCUGAGGAGGAGACUCCUGAGCUACAGCCUGGCACACACAUUCAGAGCUGCUACUGCUGCUGCUGCGUACUGCCCUCCACCAGGGGGGAUUCUCUAGUUGGCCUGGACCAUGAGCAAUGAGUCUACCGUCUGGAACAGCCUACCAGAAAACUCCACAACUCAGGAGAUCCCACUCGAGGUUGAGGAGCAGCAGGAUGGUUAUGUGCUCCUCCUGGUGAUCCUCUCCAUCUUCUUGGUAGGAACACUGAUAUUCAUCUCUGUCUUCCUCUUCGCUUGCCGCCGUGGAGGGAAAUGCUG
rnacentral:lncRNA from 1 species